UGAAGCCCUUCGGGGUGGAUUAGUGGCGAACGGGUGAGUAACACGUGGGCAAUCUGCCCUUCACUCUGGGACAAGCCCUGGAAACGGGGUCUAAUACCGGAUACCACUCCUGCCCGCAUGGGCGGGGGUUGAAAGCUCCGGCGGUGAAGGAUGAGCCCGCGGCCUAUCANCUUGUUGGUGGGGUAAUGGCCCACCAAGGCGACGACGGGUAGCCGGCCUGAGAGGGCGACCGGCCACACUGGGACUGANACACGGCCCAGACUCCUACGGGAGGCACGCACGUGGGGAAUAUUGCACAAUGGGCGAAAGCCUGAUGCACGACGCCGCGUGAGGGAUGACGGCCUUCGGGUUGUAAACCUCUUUCAGCAGGGAAGAAGCGAAAGUGACGGUACCUGCAGAAGAAGCGCCGGCUAACUACGUGCCAGCAGCCGCGGUAAUACGUAGGGCGCAA
rnacentral:rRNA from 1 species